CACGACUGCUCUAUGCUUGGCACUGGUAGAAUUCACUGAUAUGAAUGAAAGCUCAGUGGUUCUCUAGGGCCAAAUAUGGCGUGUCUAU
rnacentral:pre_miRNA from 1 species